GCGGACGUGGCGGAACUGGUAGACGCAAGGGACUUAAAAUCCCUCAGCCUAGGCUAUGCGGGUUCGAUCCCCGCCGUCCGCA
rnacentral:tRNA from 1 species